ACAUCCCCAAUGGGAUGACAGUCACGUGACAGUUCGUUCCUGUGGGAAUCGCAAUGCUGCAGGUUUUUAGAGUUUCCAUGAGAGAACGUGGAUUUUGAUGAUUGCUGAUGUCUUGUUUGCUUCAUCCCACGCCGUGUCUUGAUUUCUCGUAUACCUUUUCGAUGCUGAUGGAAACAUUCAAAAUACGUGAUAAAAUGUGGAUAUUGCAAUGGUUUGUCUUUCACCGAGGUUGCGUCUGUAAUCCUUCCGAAUCCUUUCCUGCUGAUGCCAAUGGGAGAGAUGAGAUCAAGGCACGUGCAAUCCGUUUUGCCAAAACUGCAAGGACUUUCCAUACGCGUGUAGCAACGUGUCUUUGCCGAAGUUGCAUCUGCGAUGCUCCUGUAACCCUCCAUAGCGGUGGACAUCUCGGCGUUCCGCCGUGGCUUUUGUUAUGUUGAGUCAUGGAUACAAAAGCGUCCGCGCCUGUGUGAACUGUGUGAGUAUGUGUUUUUAGUAUUCUAUCUCGUUUCGCAUGUUGUUUGUUUCCUUAAACUUGUGAAUUUGUUUUAGCGCAAGAGGAGGAAGAUAUGUGAAUGGUUCGAGAUGACGUGAUCGACAUGUGUGAACAUGUGCGAAGGAAGAUGCUGAAGGGGCGGUUUUCCACCCAAGUAGGCACAGUGGCACCUUCGUUGGCGUCGUGUCCUGA
rnacentral:misc_RNA from 1 species